rnacentral:rRNA from 1 species
AGUGAACGCUGGCGGCGUGCUUAACACAUGCAAGUCGAACGAGAACGGAUUAUAGCUUGCUAUAAUUGUCAGCUAAGUGGCGCACGGGUGAGUAAUGUAUAGGUAAUAUGCCUCUUACUAAGGGAUAACAAAUGGAAACGUUUGCUAAUACCUUAUACUCCUUAUUAACUAAAGUUGGUAAGGGAAAGAUUUUAUUGGUAAGAGAUUGGCCUGUAUUGUAUCAGUUAGUUGGUGGGGUAAUGGCCUACCAAGACUAUGACGCAUAACUGGUUUGAGAGGAUGAUCAGUCACACUGGAACUGAGACACGGUCCAGACUCCUACGGGAGGCAGCAGUGGGGAAUAUUGCACAAUGGACGAAAGUCUGAUGCAGCAACGCCGCGUGGAGGAUGACACAUUUCGGUGCGUAAACUCCUUUUAUAUAAGAAGAUAAUGACGGUAUUAUAUGAAUAAGCACCGGCUAACUCCGUG